rnacentral:snoRNA from 1 species
AAGGCUAUACUUUCAGGGUCAUUUCUAUAGUAUGUUACUAGAGAAGCUUCUCUGACUGUGUAGAUUCCAUCUGCCAUGUUACAGGAGUAAUCUGCACUAUGGU